rnacentral:rRNA from 1 species
GAUGAACGCUGGCGGCGUGCCUAAUACAUGCAAGUCGAGCGAACAGACGAGGAGCUUGCUCCUCUGACGUUAGCGGCGGACGGGUGAGUAACACGUGGAUAACCUACCUAUAAGACUGGGAUAACUUCGGGAAACCGGAGCUAAUACCGGAUAAUAUAUUGAACCGCAUGGUUCAAUAGUGAAAGACGGUUUUGCUGUCACUUAUAGAUGGAUCCGCGCCGCAUUAGCUAGUUGGUAAGGUAACGGCUUACCAAGGCGACGAUGCGUUGCCGACCUGAUGGGGUGGUCCGCCCACAUUGGAACUGAAACCCGGCCCAGCCCCCUCGGGGAGCGACAAGGGGGGAUUCUCCCAAAAGGGGCGAAACCCUGACGGACAAACGCGGCGUGAGAGAGAAAGUUUUCGGGAUCUAAAACCUUUUUUAUGGGGAAAAAAAAAAUGUGAAAGAAAAUAUGCACGCUUUGAGGUGCCUUAAUCAGAAAGCCACGGCUAACUCCGGC